GGGGGGGGGGGGGGGGGGGGCGGGGGGGGGGAAGGCGGGCGGGCGGGCGGGGAGCUGGCGGCUCUGAGGUUAGCGGCGGGCGGGGGAGUAACACGGGGAUAACCUACCUAUCAGACUGGGAUAACGUCGGGAAACCGGAGCUAAUGCCGGAUAAUAUUUUGAACCGCAUGGUUCACAAGUGAAAGACGGUCUUGCUGUCACUUAUAGAUGGAUCCGCGCUGCAUUAGCUAGUUGGUAAGGUAACGGCUUACCAAGGCAACGAUGCAUAGCCGACCUGAGAGGGUGAUCGGCCACACUGGAACUGAGACACGGUCCAGACUCCUACGGGAGGCAGCAGUAGGGAAUCUUCCGCAAUGGGCGAAAGCCUGACGGAGCAACGCCGCGUGAGUGAUGAAGGUCUUCGGAUCGUAAAACUCUGUUAUUAGGGAAGAACAUAUGUGUAAGUAACUGUGCACAUCUUGACGGUACCUAAUCAGAAAGCCACGGCUAACUACGUG
rnacentral:rRNA from 1 species